GAGGGAGGAGGGAGCGAAAAGGAUGCUCCUCGUAUAGCGAGACCGUUGAACUUUGCUGUGCUGGUGCCCGCGUCGCCCUGCUGACGGUCCACUUCUCCAGUGAUCGGCUCCUGCCUGGGAUUCCCAGGGACAGUGAAUACGAUUGCCUACGAACACGGGACCGCAUCUCCCCAGACGGUUGAGAUUUAUUAGAAGGACAGUUCCCUGUGGUGCCAGCAAAUCUUGAAUCUCUGGCAAAUAGACAAUGUGCAGAGUGAGGAAUAUCGCCAUCACGAAUUCACACAUUCACAGAUCCCAUCUACGAUACUACAUUACAUUCAGUUGCCAUUUUCCUUGGGCUUCUUGGACAGUAACUAUUUUUUAAACUUCUGCAUUCCUGGUGACAGUUUUGAGGAGUAUGUGCCACCUGGCCCACAGGAAAGUUACUCUUUUUUCAGUAUGCAAGUGUUCUGAUUUCUCUACAUCCCCACCAAUACUUGUCUUUAAUUGGGUUGUGUUUUCUUAUUGUUGGG